AGAGUUUGAUCCUGGCUCAGAUUGAACGCUGGCGGCGUGCCUAACACAUGCAAGUCGAGCGGUAACAGGUGUAGCAAUACAUGCUGACGAGCGGCGAACGGGCGAGUAAUGCUUUGGAAUCUUCCCAGUAGUGGGGAAUAACCAGUCGAAAGAUUGGCUAAUACCGCAUACGUCUGUAAAGGGAGAGCGGGGGCUCGUAAGACCUCGCGCUAUUGGAUGAGCCAAAGUCGGAUUAGCUAGUUGGUGGGGUAAUGGCCUACCAAGGCGACAAUCCGUAGCUGGUCUGAGAGGACGACCAGCCACACCGGAACUGAGACACGGUCCGGACUCCUACGGGAGGCAGCAGUGGGGAAUAUUGGACAAUGGGGGAAACCCUGAUCCAGCAAUGCCGCGUGUGUGAAGAAGGCCUUCGGGUUGUAAAGCACUUUAAGUUGGGAA
rnacentral:rRNA from 1 species